rnacentral:lncRNA from 10 species
GCUGAAUCCAGAAAAGGGAAGAUUGGCAUCCAGAGUGUUUGGAGAGUGGGCCCAUAAGAGAACAUUGUGUGUGUAUGUGUGUGUGUGUGUGUGUGUGUGUGUGUGUGUGUGUGCACGUGCACGCACGUAUGUGUUGGGGGCUGUGUAGCUUCUCCUAACUUCACCAUGCAGAAGUCAAGGAAACGGUUACAGAGGCAAAAUGUGGGAGUAGCUAAUGGCAAUGGCCCAGAGAGAUGAAAAAAUGUGAGAAAACCAAAGCUUGGAGGUAGGAACUUUCCGAUUCUUUUGGAGUAGACUAAGGUGACUUAAGUAGGAAAAGAACGCAUAGCCAGUAACUCUCCCAACAGAACUGGAUUCGUGCCUGGGGUGAUUCAGGAUGUCCAGUUAAGCUGGGAAAUACUGAUUCCACUGAUCCCCUUCAUUCACUCAGAGCAGACCGAAGACUGUGAGACUUCCUCCCCACAGUGAGCUAAAAGGACGCUUUUGUCAGAGUGGGGAAAUAAAAGGGCUUUAUGGGAAGGAAGAUAAGAACAGAUGAGUCAGAGGUUUCUGCUUAAUGGUGGUACAGCCAAGCAGACAGGCAAGUAAGUGGCCAUACUGCUACUGCCUCAUGUAGGAUCCGGCAGGCUGGUGGGUUAUCAGUCCUCACGUGGGACCCUCCCACCAUGGCAGCUGAGCACAUCCAAGCUGGGGGAUCCUGAAGAGACCUUCACCUGGGUGCCACGUGGAAGAUUGGCCAGCACCAUUUUGACUCCUGUGGAUGGGAAACCCUGGAACAGUGUCUAUAAGUCAUGAAAAACAGAGCAAUUGAAAUGGAAUCUCACUUGGGACCCCAGUCACUGCUCCAGACUGACCAGUCAGUGGACAAGGCUUCUCGCAUUGCUCACCAGCACCCAAACUGCACCUGGUCACCUGUCUACAUUCAGAUUUAGAUGAAAGCCACACCAUGGAGGCAGCCAGAGGCCCAUGGGAGAUGUCUGGAUUCGCAGAGGAAUAGCUCCAUGUGAUGCAAACCUUGACUAAUGGGAACAGGAAAAGGGAGGAAACCAGGAAGAUAAAUCUCCCUCCCUUCUCAUUGCUCCUUGCAACCCUUCCCACUUGAAGCAUGACCACAUUUAAUGAACAACCUGCUGUGUCUCUUGGAAGCUUGCUGCAAGGCAGCAAUCAGCACAAUAACAUUGUAUUGUAUCUUCCUCUGCUUCACUUCUCUUCCUCCCUCACCCUCACUGCCCUGAGCUGGCACAUCCCAAAGAAAGCAUUACCACAUUAAUCCUUGUCUCAGACUCUGCUUUCAAGAGGAUCUAGGUGAAGGAAAUUCCUAUUACUCCACCUCUUCAUCACCUCUUCAAAUGUCAGACUUUAAAAAUGGUGUCAUUUUGUUGAGUGUAUCUCAUUGUGGUUUUAAUUUGCAUUUUCCUGAUUAUGAAUGGGGUUGGCUAACUUUUCCUAUGUUUAUUGGAUUUCUUCAUUUUUGAAGUGCUUGUUUAAGUUUUCUACUAAUUUUUCUAUUGGGUUGUCUUUUUUUUUUCUUUCUUUCUUUUUAAGACAGAAUCUUGCUCUGUUGCCCUGGCUAGAGUGCAGUGAUGUAAUAAUAGCUCACUGAAACCUCGAACUCCUGGGCUCAAGCAAUUAUCCCAUCUCGGCCUCCCAAGUAGCUGGAACUACAGGUGUGCACCACUACCACCAUGC